GGUAGAUCUGUUGAUGAUUUGGGGAUAUAAUGGUGUAGCCCCUGAUUUUUUGUUACAACAUGACAGAAAUUCAGUAUUAUUGGAUGGAUUCACGCAAUGCGCUGCAAUUUGUGCAGAAAAGGCAGUUUUUUUGUUGUGUAUGAUAGAUCAAGUUUAUUGGAUCAGCUUCUCUUCGGAACUCCCCAUUCGAGUUGUUGUGUUUUGGUAUGUGGGAAGUAUAUACGCGAUUUUGCUCCAAGUUUGUCUUGAUAGAAUUUAUCUGCGCUGGCACACUUGAUUCGGCACAAAGUCCACAACACUGUGCCUCCGCCGACACCGCAGCCAGAUCGACCAGUCAAGCAUCCACUGUGCCGAUGUAAUCCCCAGUCAAGCCAGAUUGAUGGGCAGAUCCGAUGCACCGGCCAGAAGAACGGGCUGCUCAGUUGUAGGAUUGGUUUCGCCCAAAACUGAAGUGAAAAGAAUUUGUUGGUGAAAAAAGAAGUUCAGAAUCACAGGUUAUGUCUCUUGAUUGCAAGACAAACUGAUUAACUGUGCUUGCAAGGGUGUUUGUAGAAACGGCUUAACCACUAUUUCUUCCCAAUCCUGGUAACAAGCAACAGACACAAGGUAAUAACCUUUGGUGCCAGAUGCUGCAUCACACUCCUGAGUGAGCAGCAAAUGUUUGACAAAAUGCUUCUUAGGUACUGUUACUACUCUUGCAUGCUAUUUGAUUCUUUUUUUCCAGGCCCAGUUGGCAGCUAAACUAGUAUUGUUUACAAGUCAAAGAUAUAUAUAUUGCAGAGAAGAUCUUUGGUAUGUGUUUGGCCUUUUAUGUUAAGCGAUAAAUGACAUGCAAAACAUAAAUUUCAGGUUUGUCAUUACUCAAAUACCCAUUGACUGUAUGCGUUGUUUCAAGUUGCAGAACCAUACCAUUGUCCUUUACAGUAUAUCUAAUCAUACUUUUUUUUUGUCCAUUCAUACUCCAUACAAACUAUUCUCAAUUCUCAACUACCAAUGUCUUCAUAUGGAUGAUCUUCAGUUGAUGAUCUUGCUAAUUUAAGUGUCGUGACAUUAUCAGGCUCUAAGGAAGGACAUGGCGAUCUGCGAGAGCAGCAUUGAUAUUAUCAAGGUAACAGCGGCCAGUGUAGUGCCGGUUAAUCUUGUAUGAAUACAGUCUUUAUAUAUGCACACUGCCGAUGUAGUACUAUGUCUCUAUGCAUGCUUGUAACAAUGCCUAAAAGACCAGGGAGAGGCUAUGCAGAGGGAUUGGGGAAUGGGGACUGCCAAUUUUCUACAUUGAUAAGUUUAGUGUUUCCCCUGGAAGGGAUAUGGCAGGGAUAUUCACAAAGUGCAGAAUACGUGAUUCAGUUGGAGAAAGGCAACACAUGAGGAAGAUGGUUUGCAUAAUAAAUUAUCUUAGGUUAAACUAAUGUUUUUUUCUGAUCUGGUGUUUUGUACCCUCAUAACCAUCUAGCUGUUGUAAUUCAUCAAGUACCCAUGUUAAAGUGGUUGUACCCUAUAGCAACCUAGCAGGGCUUUACAUUUUGUUCUGUGCAAAAGUUGGCAUGGAGUAAGAAACAGGGUUAUGUUUACAAUUUUCAAAUAAAUUAUUCCUUACCAAGGCAUUCCCUUCAGUUUUGUUGCCCACAUGGCACAUAGGGAACAGUUAGAAAUUGUAAGAAAUUUUAUACUGAACAUGAGGAAAUUGUAUUUCUCUUAA